GGAGUCAUGGCUGAAUGGCUAAAGCACGGUCUUGCUAAGACCGCGAAGGGUUAAAACCCUAUGCAGGUUCGUGUCCUGUUGACUCCGCCA
rnacentral:tRNA from 1 species